CAGCAGCCACGGUAAUACGUAGGGUGCGAGCGUUAAUCGGAAUUACUGGGCGUAAAGCGUGUGUAGGUGGUUGUUUAAGUCUGUUGUGAAAUCCCCGGGCCCAACCUGGGAAUGGCAAUGGAUACUGGCAAGCUAGAGUGUGUCAGAGGAUGGUGGAAUUCCCGGUGUAGCGGUGAAAUGCGUAGAGAUCGGGAGGAACAUCAGUGGCGAAGGCGGCCAUCUGGGACAACACUGACGCUGAGGCACGAAAGCGUGGGGAGCAAACAGGAUUAGAUACCCCCGUAGUCCCUGUCUCUUAUAC
rnacentral:rRNA from 1 species